CCAAACUUGGUCAUUUAGAGGAAGUAAAAGUCGUAACAAGGUUUCCAUAGGUGAACCUGCGGAAGGAUCAUUACUAAAUUAUCCACCAAAAAACGGAUAAUUUUUAUCCAUAUCCACCUUGUGUGAAUUCAUUGACGUGUUUGUUGGCAGGUUAUACCUUCUCUCCUAGGAGAGCUGCGUGAUUGUCACUUUUUCAAUCGGCCUGCCAAUUUUAUUUAUCUGUAAACUUGUCUAAACAUUAUUCGUCUGAAAUUAUAUAUCAAUAAUAACAAAUACAACUUUCAACAACGGAUCUCUUGGCUCUCGCAUCGAUGAAGAACGCAGC
rnacentral:misc_RNA from 1 species